UACAGAGGUCUCAAGCGUUGUUCGGAUUUAUUGGGCGUAAAGGGCGCGUAGGCGGCGGGGUAAGUCGGGUGUGAAAUCUCAGGGCUCAACCCUGAAACUGCACUUGAUACUGCUCUGCUUGAGGACUGGAGAGGAGACUGGAAUUCACGGUGUAGCAGUGAAAUGCGUAGAUAUCGUGAGGAAGACCAGUGGCGAAGGCGGGUCUCUGGACAGUUCCUGACGCUGAGGCGCGAAGGCCAGGGGGAGCAAACGGG
rnacentral:rRNA from 1 species